rnacentral:rRNA from 1 species
UAAGCCUGCGAAGGUGGCCUGUGAGGGUUGCUGGAGGUAUCAGAAGUGCGAAUGCUGACAUAAGUAACGAUAAAGCGGGUGAAAAGCCCGCUCGCCGGAAGACCAAGGGUUCCUGUCCAACGUUAAUCGGGGCAGGGUGAGUCGACCCCUAAGGCGAGGCCGAAAGGCGUAGUCGAUGGGAAACGGGUUAAUAUUCCCGUACUUGGUGUUACUGCGAAGGGGGGACGGAGAAGGCUAUGUUGGCCGGGCGACGGUUGUCCCGGUUUAAGCGUGUAGGUGUGUGUUCCAGGUAAAUCCGGUUCACUUUAACACUGAGGCGUGACGACGAGGCACUACGGUGCUGAAGCAACAAAUGCCCUGCUUCCAGGAAAAGCCUCUAAGCAUCAGGUAACAUCAAAUCGUACCCCAAACCGACACAGGUGGUCAGGUAGAGAAUACCAAGGCGCUUGAGAGAACUCGGGUGAAGGAACUAGGCAAAAUGGUGCCGUAACUUCGGGAGAAGGCACGCUGACAUGUAGGUGAAGUGAUUUACUCAUGGAGCUGAAGUCAGUCGAAGAUACCAGCUGGCUGCAACUGUUUAUUAAAAACACAGCACUGUGCAAACACGAAAGUGGACGUAUACGGUGUGACGCCUGCCCGGUGCCGGAAGGUUAAUUGAUGGGGUCAGCGCAAGCGAAGCUCCUGAUCGAAGCCCCGGUAAACGGCGGCCGUAACUAUAACGGUCCUAAGGUAGCGAAAUUCCUUGUCGGGUAAGUUCCGACCUGCACGAAUGGCGUAAUGAUGGCCAGGCUGUCUCCACCCGAGACUCAGUGAAAUUGAACUCGCUGUGAAGAUGCAGUGUACCCGCGGCAAGACGGAAAGACCCCGUGAACCUUUACUAUAGCUUGACACUGAACAUUGAGCCUUGAUGUGUAGGAUAGGUGGGAGGCUUUGAAGUGUGGACGCCAGUCUGCAUGGAGCCGACCUUGAAAUACCACCCUUUAAUGUUUGAUGUUCUAACGUGGACCCGUGAUCCGGGUUGCGGACAGUGUCUGGUGGGUAGUUUGACUGGGGCGGUCUCCUCCUAAAGAGUAACGGAGGAGCACGAAGGUUGGCUAAUCCUGGUCGGACAUCAGGAGGUUAGUGCAAUGGCAUAAGCCAGCUUGACUGCGAGCGUGACGGCGCGAGCAGGUGCGAAAGCAGGUCAUAGUGAUCCGGUGGUUCUGAAUGGAAGGGCCAUCGCUCAACGGAUAAAAGGUACUCCGGGGAUAACAGGCUGAUACCGCCCAAGAGUUCAUAUCGACGGCGGUGUUUGGCACCUCGAUGUCGGCUCAUCACAUCCUGGGGCUGAAGUAGGUCCCAAGGGUAUGGCUGUUCGCCAUUUAAAGUGGUACGCGAGCUGGGUUUAGAACGUCGUGAGACAGUUCGGUCCCUAUCUGCCGUGGGCGCUGGAGAACUGAGGGGGGCUGCUCCUAGUACGAGAGGACCGGAGUGGACGCAUCACUGGUGUUCGGGUUGUCAUGCCAAUGGCACUGCCCGGUAGCUAAAUGCGGAAGAGAUAAGUGCUGAAAGCAUCUAAGCACGAAACUUGCCCC